rnacentral:rRNA from 1 species
GACGAACGCUGGCGGCGCGCCUAACACAUGCAAGUAGAACGAGCGAGAGGGAGCUUGCUUUCUCGAGCGAGUGGCGAACGGGUGAGUAACGCGUGAGGAACCUGCCUCAAAGAGGGGGACAACAGUUGGAAACGACUGCUAAUACCGCAUAAGCCCACGGUGCCGCAUGGCACAGAGGGAAAAGGAGCAAUCCGCUUUGAGAUGGCCUCGCGUCCGAUUAGCUAGUUGGUGAGGUAAUGGCCCACCAAGGCGACGAUCGGUAGCCGGACUGAGAGGUUGAACGGCCACAUUGGGACUGAGACACGGCCCAGACUCCUACGGGAGGCAGCAGUGGGGAAUAUUGCACAAUGGGGGAAACCCUGAUGCAGCGACGCCGCGUGGAGGAAGAAGGUCUUCGGAUUGUAAACUCCUGUUGUUGGGGAAGAUAAUGACGGUACCCAACAAGGAAGUGACGGCUAACUACGUG